rnacentral:rRNA from 1 species
UACAGAGGGUGCAAACGUUGCUCGGAAUCAUUGGGCGUAAAGCGCACGUAGGCGGCCUAGCAAGUAGGGAGUGAAAGCCCUCGGCUUAACCGAGGAAGUGCUUUCUAAACUACUAGGCUUGAAUACUGGAGAGGGUCGCGGAAUUCCCGGUGUAGAGGUGAAAUUCGUAGAUAUCGGGAGGAACACCGGUGGCGAAGGCGGCGACCUGGGACGAUACUGACGCUGAGGUGCGAAAGCGUGGGGAGCGAACAGG